rnacentral:lncRNA from 1 species
UUAAAUUCCAUCUACAACCAGUAGCCAUUGCCAGCAGGAUCCAUGACUCGUCUCUGCCUUUUUUGGCCUUCUGCGUGUCGAGGGCAGAGAAGACAACAAGCAAGCGAUAUUAAACUUCUCUAUCCAUGAAGCAUGUCAACAUACCCAUCAUAAUGGCUAGGGAUAAUGAAUAGAAAACUCCAGAAACUAAAACAAAUAGUAGAAUUUCAUAUGGAAUAUCAUAGGCAUCAAACUGCAAUAUUCACCUUAAAUCAAAAAUGGGUAGCUGAAUUGAAGUAAGAAACAAGAAGUGGAAACAGUGCCCAGCGUAGGUGAACUGAAGAAGGACCUCAUCUACAAUCCGAUAAUAAAUUCCUAACAUGACGGCAUGAAAAACCCCGCCACAAGAACUCACGUCUGCUGGGGGAGUGAUAAAGGAAAUAUAUCUGCAAAAAAAGACUAAGUGGGCAGCACCGAAUCCUGUUUCCAUGCAGCUCUAAAAACACAAGAACUCAUGUCUGCUGGUAGUGUUAUAAAGGAAAUAUGUGAAUAUGUACAUGUAAGGUUGCCUCAUUUCUGAAAACACAAAUCCACCCUAACUGAAAGCACAUGAAUAAAAUGCAGAUUCUCUCUUCUUUAAAGAUGUUACAUGACUCGCCAUCUUCCUUUAGGAAAGGAAAAUAGUACAGAAUCAAUAGUGCAAUCAAGUUCUGUAGGUAAACAAAGAAAGAAUUUUGGUCACCACAAAUCUCAUUUAGCCUCGUUGUGAUCUCUUAUCUUCCUCAUGUUUACAUCAAUCACAAACAAUAGCAUCAAAAUGAGAUAACAAAGCUUAACAGGAGCGAGAAAAAUCACCUUGAUCUUCUUCAAAUCUCUAGCUAAAUUCUUCUUAUUCUUCCCUUCGUCCUCAGAUCUGCACACGUCUAUGUAUAGAUAACUAAUCAGUUUUGCUAAAGCAACGCGCAAAGCAGAUCGAUACCAUACCUUGAGAUCGCAGGAGCAGCAAAGCAGGUUGGAGGCAGC